CCUAAAUCCGAAAUCUGCUCAGACACCAGAUCUCAAAUUUCAAACGUAUUCAUUGCUUUGUGUCGUUAAUAAAUCCGUUUUAAGCCAUCUGACCCACUUUCUGUCCUCUCUUUAAGCCGAGCUCCACUCCACACACACUCACACACACACACUCUCUCUCUCUCGCACACACACACUCUCACACACAGCUCGAUUUUUUUACUUUUCCCGCAUCCACAGCCUUUCAUUUCCCUGCCUCGUGUUGAGGAAGAUGGGCUACGUGUUGGAUAAAUCAGUUUAAAUCUGCCGAAAUGUUGUUAGCUAUGUGCUAAUUUCAUUCCUCGGGCUGAAAUAUCCUGACCAAAAAAAGAGAGAGAGAGAGAGAGAGAGAGAGAGAGAAAGAGAGAAAGAGAGAGAGGGAGAGUCUGAGUCUCCUCUUCUGCUCCUGAGGCACUUUUUUUGGACUCCUCAGCUCCUCAGCUCCUCAGCUCGAUUACGUUUUGGUUUUAGUAUUUUCAGAUAUUAUUUUUGGUGCUCAGGGAAGGGUGUAAAGCAUGUGACAGGGGUUUAACUAACACACACACACACACACACACACACACACACACACACAAAAUCAUUAAAAAAAAAAAAAGAAGCAGUCGCCAAAAAUGUGAAGGAGGAGGAGAAGUUAGCUUGGAAGGAGAAGGAGAAGGAGAAGGAGAGGAGAAGAGGAGGAGGAGGAGGAGGAGGAGGAGAAGCCGCUAGCUAGCUGCAUCUAUAAUACUAGCUUUAAUAUUAGCGUUUAGAUUGAUUCGAUUUAGCGACCACUUUCUGUCUCAGGAGCUUUAUCACACUCGCUUUUUUCUUUAGGAGCAAUGGCAUAGCAGACACCUUUAAUACAACACACACACACACGCACACACACGCACGCACGCACGCACGCGGGCACAACAGCUGCAUACUUUCAUAUUAAAUUCACAGAGAACAAUACAAAACCCCCAGCCAACAUCCAUCUCUCCUCUUCCAUCACAUCCAUCCUGUCUCAGGUUAUUCCACAAACCACAAACCCACCGGGAGCACGUGCAGCCCACAAACUCAGAAAUUAAAAUAAAAAAUUUUUUUAAAAAGAAUUUUUUUAAUGCAGAUUUUAUUUUCAAUUAAGAGAGAUGUGCAUAGUCUAUGAGCUAAUCCAGGGGUAUACUGAGCGCGCGCUAUUAUUAUUAUUAUUAUUAUUAUUAAUAUUAUUAUCACGCUCAGCAUGGAUGUCCCCGUGAAUCUCUGAACACAUUUCAGCCCCUAAAUCUGAAUGAAUAUUAAACCCAGCUACAAAUAAUAAUAAUAAUAAUAAUAAUAAUAAUAAUAAUAAUAAUAAACACUCAUACACUCGGGAGUGCGCGCGAGCGUCUAAACCUUAAUAUAAACACAUCAAAAGAACUCGGCGGAUUUUCUACGUUAUCUGUAAUAAACGCACGCGCUCACAUCCGAAUCACGCUCGGGUUUACCGGAGUGUUGGCUUGUCUGUUUGUUUGUUUGUUUAUUUGUGUGAGGAAUUUGACUUGACGGGGUGAUUGCUAAUUUUUCUUCCUUUCUUCCUUUGAUUUGAGCCAGCGUUCAAGAAAGUAAACAAACUAGUGCUUAUAAGCGCGAAUUUCUCUAAAGUUCCUUCAAACCUCGGAUCUCUUCCGUACGCGAAAUAAAUCCGACUUCUAAAAAAGGACAGGCGGGGGGGUUAAAUUAAAAAAAAAUUAAAAACAACAACAACAACAAAAACCAACAAGAACAAGCAAAGCAUCAUGAAGUUGAAGUUUGCCUUAUUUACCCCUGACAUGAGUGUAUAGCGUACGAGUGUGUGUGUGUGUGUGUGAGAGAGAGAGAGAGAGAGAGAGAGAAGAGAGAGAGAGAGUGUGUGUGUGAAAGUGUGUGCAUGCCAUUUUUGAGAAAACAGCCCGACACAGAUAAUAUUUAACACCCUCCCUCUAUCUCUAGCUCUCUCUCUCUCUCUCUCUCUCUCUCUCGUUUCUUACCUUUUCUUUUUCUCCGCUGGCGACAGCGUUUCACAGCUUUCUCCGGUUUUAAUUGUCUUCCUUAUCCGGACAAGGUUGGACUUUUCUUCCUUUUCCUUUUUUUUACAUUUAGUAUUUUCCCUUACUUUGUUUCAUGUCUCACUUCCAUCUUCUUUCAUCUCAUCAAUAAACACACGCUGCAGCCUACCUUCGGAGAGGAGGAGGAGGAGGAGGAGAGAGGGAGAGAGAGAGAGGGAGAGAGAGAGAGAGAGAGAGAAAGAGGGGAGACCUCGGCCACUUUCAGCGCUGCCCUCCCAUUAUUCCUCCGCUAUUGGUCGGAGACGCGAUCAGGACACGCCCACUUCUAACUGCGAUUGGGACACAGCCGCGGCGGGGUUAUGCUAGGCUAACGCUGUGUGCUAAAAGACAGGAUCCGACACAAACCACUUUACCCCAGUCACAGAGAAAUCACAGAGAGCCUGGUUUACGACAGACCUGAUGACCCCCUGCAGUUUAUGUUAGAGCAGUUGCAGAAGAAGAUCCGAGCGCGUGACGAGGCGAACGAAGCUGCAAAAGCUGAAUAGUUUUCUCCGAAAUGGGUUGUGCAGCGUACAAUGAAGAGUGUGUUAGCCACGUAUUUGCAUACUGGAAUUAUAUUCACUGGGAUGCAGACAUAAUUGCAGCUCCUUUUGUAAAAAAAAAAAAAAAAAAACCCGCAAAAAAACAAAACCCACACACACACCACACACACAAAAAAAAAAAACCCAAACCUGAUGUAUUCCCUAUUUUGCUUUGACAAUCCUGUUUAGUUCUUUUAUGAGAUAUUAUUUGUAUUCGGACCAGACCGACCCGUCCGCAGCGUCUUUGGAAACUCGGCGAGCAGGCCGGAGA
ensembl:lncRNA